GACGAUUCUGUGCCUAAGAUGCGCUCUUACGAAGGCUUCGGCCUUAGUGGCGCACGGGUGCGUAACGCGUGGGAAUCUGCCCCUCGGUUCGGAAUAACAGUUAGAAAUGACUGCUAAUACCGGAUGAUGACGUAAGUCCAAAGAUUUAUCGCCGAGGGAUGAGCCCGCGUAGGAUUAGCUAGUUGGUGUGGUAAAGGCGCACCAAGGCGACGAUCCUUAGCUGGUCUGAGAGGAUGAUCAGCCACACUGGGACUGAGACACGGCCCAGACUCCUACGGGAGGCAGCAGUGGGGAAUAUUGGACAAUGGGCGAAAGCCUGAUCCAGCAAUGCCGCGUGAGUGAUGAAGGCCUUAGGGUUGUAAAGCUCUUUUACCCGGGAUGAUAAUGACAGUACCGGGAGAAUAAGCCCCGGCUAACUCCGUGCCAGCAGCCGCGGUAAUACGGAGGGGGCUAGCGUUAUUCGGAAUUACUGGGCGUAAAGCGCACGUAGGCGGCUUUGUAAGUUAGAGGUGAAAGCCUGGAGCUCAACUCCAGAAUUGCCUUUAAGACUGCAUCGCUUGAAUCCAGGAGAGGUGAGUGGAAUUCCGAGUGUAGAGGUGAAAUUCGUAGAUAUUCGGAAGAACACCAGUGGCGAAGGCGGCUCACUGGA
rnacentral:rRNA from 1 species